rnacentral:siRNA from 1 species
AAAUCGCUGACGGGUUUGUCCA